GGAGCCGACCGGGCAGUCGCUGUAUCGAGCGGAUCUUUGUUGUGGAUUCGGUGUCGGUAUAGAGGAAAGUCCGGGCUCCACAGGGCGGGGUGCCAGGUAACGCCUGGGGGAUGCGAGUCUACGGAAAGUGCCACAGAAAAUAUACCGCCCGCUGUUUUGUUUCCCGGUUUUUAUACGGACCUCGAGGAGACAGGCGGGUAAGGGUGAAAUGGUGCGGUAAGAGCGCACCGCACCCCGGGUAAUCGGGGUGGCAGGGUAAACCCCACCUGGAGCAAGACCAAAUAGGGGGGCCGGUUUAUGCCUUGAUGCAUAUAACCAGGCGUGGCCCGCGCCGCUCCCGGGUAGGUCGCUGGAGGUAUGUGGUGAUGCAUGCCCAAGAUGGAUGGCUGUCCCAGACAGAACCCGGCUUAUAGGUCGACUCCCGCG
rnacentral:RNase_P_RNA from 1 species